CCCUUAGAUGUUCUGGGCCGCACGCGCGCUACAAUGAUGAAUUCAACGAGUUUAUAACCUUGGUUGAAAAGCCUGGGUAAUCUUUUGAACUUUCGUCGUGAUGGGGCUAGACCCUUGCAAUUAUUGGUCUCCAACGAGGAAUUCCUAGUAAACGCGAGUCAUCAGCUUGCAUUGAUUACGUCCCUGCCCUUUGUACACACCGCCCGUCGCACCUACCGAUUGAAUGGUCCGGUGAAAUCUUCGGAUUGAGACUUUGAUUUCUUCACGGAAAACGCUGUUUUAAGAAGUUGAUUAAACCUUACCAUUUAGAGGAAGGUGAAGUCGUAACA
rnacentral:rRNA from 1 species